GCGCCUGUAGCUCAGUUGGAUAGAGCAACUGCCUUCUAAGCAGUAGGUCGGCUGUUCGAGCCAGCCCAGGCGCG
rnacentral:tRNA from 1 species